rnacentral:tRNA from 1 species
GCCUGGCUGGCUCAGUUGGUAGAGCAUGUGACUCUUAAUCUCAAGGUUGAGUUUGAGUCCCAGGUAGGGCA